rnacentral:tRNA from 1 species
GGCAGCAUGGCAUAGUGGUUUGAGUGUUGGACUACAACUGUGGAGACCAGGGUUUGAUUCCCUGCUUAGCCA